GGGUCAGUAGGUUGGUCGUGCCACCGGUACGUACUGGUCUCACUGAUUCCUCCUUCCUGAAGAACCGUAAUGCCAUAAUUUGGUGUUGCGGGGAAACAGGACUGUUACUUUGAAAAAAUUAGAGUGUUUAAAGCAAGCUAACGCUUGAAUACAUUAGCAUGGAAUAAUGAAAUAGGACGAUCGAUCCUAUUUUGUUGGUUUCUAGGAUUGACGUA
rnacentral:rRNA from 1 species